AUUCCUGCUUCCGAGGAGUUUGUCGUGGAACCUAGAAGGCCAUCACGUGCACAACUACAUACAACACAGGUCUUGUUUUGUUUUUUGGUUUUUGGUUUGUUUUUUUUCUUUUUUGUCUUUUUAGGGCCUCGUCCGCACCAUAUGGAGGUUCCCAGGCUAGGCAUCGAAUAGGAGCCAUAGCAAUGCCAAAUCCAAGCCGUGUCUGCAACCUACACCACAGCUCGCGGCAACACCGGAUCCUUAACCCACAGAGCGAGGCCAUGGAUCGAACCUGCGUCCACGCGGAUGCUGGUCAGAUUCAUUUUUGCUGAACCACAACGGGAACUCCAACACGUUCAGUCAUGACAGCGUGCUUGCCUUUCAGUGCUCGCUGUGCCAAGUGCACGUGUCUUUUGAUCUCCACAACCUAUGGCAUAGAUGUUAAUGACUCUUCCAUUUCACAGAUGGGGAAGCUGGCUCAGAGAGACCCCAAGGUCACAGAAGGACUAAGUAGCAGGGCUGGAGUUUGAGCCCAGCGGCCCGACUCUUGAGCCUGAGUCUUUAAGGAAGCACUUAGGACCAAGCCAGCCUGCUUCAAAGAACAGAGGAAGGACAGCUGGAGAAGAGAUCACAGGCACAGCGAGGUUGAACACACAAGUUAAUGUUAAACAGCUAUUAAGUGACAGAGAUGGAUUUGAGGCUAAGGUUUGCUCGUAAGUGCCUCAUUAUGUUCUUCUUCUAAACAAUAACACUAUAUGCUUCAACCUUCGCGUCGCCUUUAUUCUGCUUCAAUUCUGAAGGGUUUAGCAAGAUCAGGCAUAGAAGAGUUUUAAUGCAGCUUUGUUGAAUUUAAGUGAAAAUAAAUCUUCACGUCUCUUCUUUUCUUCUUGAUGUUUACAGCCCUCACGGGUAAUGCUCAGCUCUGAGUCCAACACCAGAUAUCUUCAGAUAUGUUCAGUUCAUAAGGAAACACUGGCGGCUUAGCCCUGAAGACUCUAGGUCCAUAGUCACAUAUCCAGCAGGCGAUGUGUCUUUUCUUACAGCUCAGAAACUCCGAUGGAUCUGCCUGGCUUUCUUGUCCAUGGAUGGGUUUUCCUAUUAGCACUCGCUCUUCAGCACCUAGACUCUGCGGUCUGUGGACAGAGAGGCGAUGUAUUGACUGAACGCCCCAGGAACUAGGCGAAUAACAAUAAGUGUCCCCAAAGAUGUGGAUAUCGGGUUCCCUCGCAUCAUGUUUAAAUUCUACCCCAAACCGGAAAAUGGCCAGCGCCCUUGGCCCCAGAGACCUGUCUCCUUCCGUUCCCUGCCCUCUCUGCUCCCCAGGUAAAUGCAUUGAGCUCCUCUCCUUCCUCUCUGACGAGGUCCCAGCAGAGCCAGCCUGAGGAGGGGUUGGGGGAGGAGAGAAAGGUGACCCUUAGCCACAGUGGCAGCUUCACCUGCCAGUGGUUUCGUGUUUCCUACACGGAGCUGAGGUUCAGGUUCACUGUCUCAUUUACUCCUGAGGGGAGGAUUAUUGUCUGCACUUUACAGGGACAACACCGAGGCCGAGAAAGUAUUACCAGCCCAGAGCUAACAAACUACAGCUCCGGUGGAGGAAAGCCGGGAUUUCUUCCCGUUCACAUCUGUUUGACUUCCAAACCUGCUUCUCUUUCUUUCUCAUUCUCAUUAUUGCUGUUGUGAGGAGGAGGAGGAGGAGGAAUGCUGCCUAAGAGUCAGCUCUUUGUAGUGGAACUUGUGCAUGCCUCAAGCUAGAAAGAAAAUCAAAAGGAUGCAACGUGUUUCCGUGUCAGUGCAAACAUAUUUGGGGGGAGAGGCUGGUCCUUGGUUGCCUUCUUUCACCAGUACUUGGAAAGUCUCAACUGAAGAAAGAAUAUGGGGAGUUCCUGUUGUGGCUCAGUGGGUUAAGAACCCCGCUGGGGAUGCGGGCUCAAUCCCUGGCCCCUCUCAGUGGGUUAAGGAUCUGUCAUUGCUACAAGCUUCAGCAAAGAUCACAGAUGUGGCUCAGAUCCAGCAUUGUUGUGGCUGUGGCUGUGGCCAGCAGCUGUAACUCCAAUUCGACCUCUAGCCCAGGAGCUUCCAUAUGCUGCAAGUGCAGCCCUACAAAGAAAAAAGGGAAGAAGAGGAAAAAAAAAAAAAAAAA
rnacentral:lncRNA from 1 species